rnacentral:lncRNA from 1 species
CCAAGUUUAGAAUAUGCAAGGGUUCUAACACCUGGUAUCAGAGCAGCAUUCUUGGCAUCUCGCUGCCCUUCCACUGCCAUCCAUCAGCCCUCCACAACCGCCCAAAGCAAUUCCCACAAUUGCUUAAAAGAUCGUCGCCAAAUUCCGCCAUCAUCUCCACCACCGCGGAUCAUCCUUUGAUCUCCCCGUGAAUUGCAACAGGUUCUGGUUUCCUA